CCUACGGGUGGCAGCAGUAGGGAAUGUUGCGCAAUGGGGGAAACCCUGACGCAGCAACGCCGCGUGAUCGAUGAAGACCUUCGGGGUGUAAAGAUCUGUCAGUGGGGACGAAACCUGACGGUACCAACAGAGGAAGCACCGGCUAACUCCGUGCCAGCAGCCGCGGUAAUACGGGGGGUGCAAGCGUUGGCCGGAAGCAUUGGGCGUAAAGAGUUCGGAGGUGGCACGUUAAGUCUGGUGUUAAAGGCGGAAGCUCAACUUCCGUAGGGCACUGGAUACUGGCGAGCUUGAAUGCGGUAGAGGUAAGUGGAAUUCCUGUUGUAGCGGUGAAAUGCGUAGAUAUCAGGCGG
rnacentral:rRNA from 1 species